CAGACCUAAUAUGCUGUCAUCAUUUGAGAACCGAAUCUGGACUCUCUGGAAAAUAAGCCAAGAGAUUCUGAGACAUUGAAAUAAUUCUAAGCAAACCAGACUGACUGCAGAUGCACCUAAAACCUAACAGGGUAUUCGAAGCAGAGAAUUAGUAUUUUUUUGUGAUGCAAUAAUGUUUGCAACAGACCACAAAAUAGUUCUACUGACUCAUGCCUUUGAGGGCAAAGUUUUUCUCUAAUCCUUCUCCACCCUGUUUCACAGGAGGUCUUAACGGAUACCAAAGGUUUGACACCCCAGGCAACUGAUCCUUCUGGACUCUCCUUAUGUGGAUUACUUUUAACCUAUCAGAAAACUGAAUGGGAUACUGAAAGACUAUUCAAGAUGGCAGGCCUGCCAUUGAAGAGGAAACAAAUGGAUUUAGUUCAGUGCUACAAAAGCGAGCCACUUAUAUGAAAAGGCAUGUGACUAUGACAACCACAGUGCAAGCAUUAUUGGAUUAUUAACUCUACAAGUUACAGAAAGGAAGACUUCACAGUGCCCAGAGUACCAGACUGACAGUAAGGAAGCUCAAGUUGUAGAGGAAUUAUAUUUCCAGACAAUGACAGCAUCUACCACUUUGGAUACAUCUGGAUGGUUUCUACAUCUGCCAAAUGAAAACAGCAGGAGAGCAUGAUGAAAUCAUACCUCCAGUUGUGGCCAUCUUUUCCCCAUCAAAGCAAGAGAUCCAACAGAAGAGCAAGGCCACGCUGGUAUGCCUGGCCUCUGGUUUCUACCCUGACCACCUGAAUCUGGUCUGGAAGGUGAAUGGUGCUAAGAGGACAGAAGGGGUGGGGACAGAUGAGUUUUCCACAUGGAAUGGGAGUACCUACUCACUGACCAGCCGACUGAGGAUCUCAGCCAGAGAGUGGUUCAACCCUUUGAAUCGUUUUGAGUGCGUUGCCAAUUUUUUUAAGAAUGCAAAACUGGAAUCGAUACACAAAGCAAUCUACGGUGAUGCUGGUUGUGCACUCACGGAAGAGUCCUACUUGCGAUAUGGGAAUUCUCUGAAGCUCACAUACCUCAUUCUCUGUGGCAAAGCCUUGCUCUAUGCAGUUUUGGUAAGCGGUCUGGUGUGGACAGCCAAGGCUGGUGACAAGUUGUAUAGAGAAUAAUCGAGUCCGCUUCAUCACAACAGCAUGAACACAGCAAAUUAUUUCUACCCUUCCACAGCAAAGAAUCUAUGCUUCUGUCUAAGAACCUCUGAAUAUAAUAUCUUGAUGGUUUUCUGUCCCCCUCCUGUUCUUUCUACUUGUAGUCACUGGUGGGUCUUCCCUGUACUUCCGUAUCAUAUUGUAUUGUAUCAUAUAAAAUCAAUCAUAUAAUAUCUUUAAAACUAACACCUUCUUAAUAUUCAGAGGCUGAGGACCCCGCUCCUUGAACUAAGAAUAAAGUUUUAGCUUCUUCUCCA